rnacentral:rRNA from 1 species
UACGGGGGGAGCAAGCGUUGUUCGGAUUCAUUGGGCGUAAAGGGUGCGUAGGUGGCGGGGUAAGUCAGGUGUGAAAUCUCGAGGCUCAACCUCGAAACUGCACUUGAUACUGCCUUGCUCGAGUACUGGAGAGGAGAUUGGAAUUUACGGUGUAGCAGUGAAAUGCGUAGAUAUCGUAAGGAAGACCAGUGGCGAAGGCGAAUCUCUGGACAGUUACUGACACUGAGGCACGAAGGCCAGGGGAGCAAACAGG